CGGCAAGCCAAUAGAGUGUGCGGACUCACGCUUGUCAAUCUAGAUCCGAGCCUUGAAGUGAGCGAGACAGCAAGGGACGGCGAUGAAUCCAUGUAGUAAGACGACGGUGGCGCGCCGAGGCGAAGGAAGGCAGCUGCAGCAUGCUAGACAGUGGGGGCGCUGCGGUGGUCAGCGAGCUCCACCCGAUCUGCACCUCCGUUUCAAAUUGCAGCUCUAUCCGGCCGGCCGCCCCCAUAGUUUAGGCCUGAGUCAGGUACGCCUUCUUUGUUGAGUCGUGCUGCUACUGAGUUAUUGCUGGUCUGCUUGAGAAGUUGUGGUUGUCUUGGAAUGUGAUAACUUAGCACUAAUGUUGGCAGAUCUGAAAUACAAUGGGUCUCCAUCAUUUCAUUUCUAUUUGUUCAAAUCCAUGGACUGCAUUUCUUGAUCUGAUUUACUUGUUAAUUUGAUUUACCCAUGGGUAUUUGACAGAGUUGUCUGUACCUGGCAAAGUUAUCCACGCUUGUGCCUUGCUAGGUCAGCGUGAAUACCAUGAACCCGAAUACAUACAUAUCUGUCAAUAAUAUGGAUAAAAUUAGAAUUUGACUUGAUAGGAAAUAUUGAGAAAGAAAUGUUCCACAAUUUCGUACAAUUUACCCCUCUGUGCAGUCUCUCCCAUGUCGUGGUCCAAGCAGCAGCCACUUGAAGGAAACGUGGUCUAGCUCCUAGGAGGCAUGCCUGUUGGUUGUUCACGACUGAAUGUACUCUAAAAAUCCUAUGGUAAAAAAUGAAAACAAGGGGUGGAUGGCUAUAUUGAAUGAACAAUGCUAGAUUAUGAUAUUUACCUUACUGCUGCACAAUCAAGAAAGUUCAUAACACAUAGCAAGUUAUUAGUGACUGCAUUAGAAGAAACGAAAGAGCAUUUGAUAAUUCUGAUGCAUAUCUUGCGGAUUCAUAGUUUGUUCAGGAGUUACAGCAUAUUCAGUUUGUGAUGGGUAGAAGAUACACAUACCGCCAAAUAGUUAUUAUGCAAUAAGUUGAUCCUAUGCACUUGCUCGAUCUACUAUAUGCUAAGUCCAUAUUUAGUGAGCAUGAUCCACUGCUGUUCUAACUGCUUGUUAGUAUAGUUUGGCCAACUGCGAAGUCCUAAUGUAGGCAAAAGUUUGGUAGCACAAGUAUAUCUUGAUAGUCCUAUAAGAAAUAUUUUUGUGUCAGUUACAAUAAAUUUCUAGGAUCUUAGAUUAUAUUUGAACAAUGUGAAUACAUAUGUAAGGUAGAGUAUACAACCUUUUACUUGUGUGAGGCUUGACUACAUAAUUUCCUUGGUUCUUGUGCUGGUAUUUAUCACUGUCAUCAUUGCUGGUAUCCUGUGACAUGUAGCAUGCUAUAAAUUUGGGAUUGACUGUAGAUAUCUUCAAACCUUCUUUUACUAACA